rnacentral:rRNA from 1 species
GCGGAGGAAAAGAAACCAACAGGGAUUGCCUUAGUAGCGGCGAGUGAAGCGGCAAAAGCUCAAAUUUGAAAUCUGGCACUUUCAGUGUCCGAGUUGUAAUUUGAAGAAGGUAUCUUUGGGUCUGGCUCUUGUCUAUGUUUCUUGGAACAGAACGUCACAGAGGGUGAGAAUCCCGUGCGAUGAGAUGUCCCAGACCUAUGUAAAGUUCCUUCGAAGAGUCGAGUUGUUUGGGAAUGCAGCUCUAAGUGGGUGGUAAAUUCCAUCUAAAGCUAAAUAUUGGCGAGAGACCGAUAGCGAACAAGUACAGUGAUGGAAAGAUGAAAAGAACUUUGAAAAGAGAGUGAAAAAGUACGUGAAAUUGUUGAAAGGGAAGGGCUUGAGAUCAGACUUGGUAUUUUGUAUGUUACUCUCUCGGGGGUGGCCUCUACAGUUUACCGGGCCAGCAUCAGUUUGAGCGGUAGGAUAAGUGCAAAGAAAUGUGGCACUGCUUCGGUAGUGUGUUAUAGUCUUUGUCGAUACUGCCA